AUGUUGAUGCAAGAUUAUUUUUCGGAGAAUCCUACAUAUCCUGCACACCUCUUCCGUAGAAGGUACCGAAUGCGUCGAUCCCUUUUUGUGAAAAUUGUUGAAGCUUGCGAGGCAAAUUGCCGGCAUUUCACUCAGAGAAGGAAUGCCGCGGGCUUAAAGGGGUUUAGUGCAUAUCAAAAAAUCUCCGCAGCUAUGUAG
rnacentral:rRNA from 1 species